rnacentral:rRNA from 1 species
AACGAACGCUGGCGGCAUGCCUAACACAUGCAAGUCGAACGAUCCCUUCGGGGAUAGUGGCGCACGGGUGCGUAACGCGUGGGAACCUGCCCUUAGGUUCGGAAUAACUCAGAGGAAUUUGAGCUAAUACCGGAUAAUGUCUUCGGACCAAAGAUUUAUCGCCUUUGGAUGGGCCCGCGUUGGAUUAGCUAGUUGGUGGGGUAAAGGCCUACCAAGGCGACGAUCCAUAGCUGGUCUGAGAGGAAGAUCAGCCACACUGGGACUGAGACACGGCCCAGACUCCUACGGGAGGCAGCAGUGGGGAAUAUUGGACAAUGGGCGAAAGCCUGAUCCAGCAAUGCCGCGUGAGUGAUGAAGGCCUUAGGGUUGUAAAGCUCUUUUACCCGGGAUGAUAAUGACAGUACCGGGAGAAUAAGCCCCGGCUAACUCCGUG